CAACAGCUAGAGUUUGAUCCUGGCUCAGAACGAACGCUGGAGGCAUGCUUAACACAUGCAAGUCGAACGAUUCACUGUGGUGCUUGCACUGCGGUGGGGAGUGGCAAACGGGUGAGUAACGCGUGGGAAUGUGCCCUUUAGACUGGGAUAACAUCUGGAAACGGAUGCUAAUACUGGAUGAACCGGAGACGGGAAAGAUUUAUUGCUAGAGGAGUGGCCCGCGUUAGAUUAGGUAGUUGGUGUGGUAAUGGCAUACCAAGCCUGUGAUCUAUAGCUGGUCUGAGAGGAUGAUCAGCCACACUGGAACUGAGACACGGUCCAGACUUCUACGGAAGGCAGCAGUGGGGAAUAUUGGACAAUGGGGGAAACCCUGAUCCAGCGAUGCCUCGUGAGUGAAGAAGGCCUUAGGGUUGUAAAGCUCUUUUAUCAGGGAAGAUGAUGACGGUACCUGAUGAAUAAGCUCCGGCUAACUUCGUGCC
rnacentral:rRNA from 1 species